UCAGGAUGAACGCUGGCGGCGUGCCUAAUACAUGCAAGUCGAGCGAACGGACGAGAAGCUUGCUUCUCUGAUGUUAGCGGCGGACGGGUGAGUAACACGUGGAUAACCUACCUAUAAGACUGGGAUAACUUCGGGAAACCGGAGCUAAUACCGGAUAAUAUUUUGAACCGCAUGGUUCAAAAGUGAAAGACGGUCUUGCUGUCACUUAUAGAUGGAUCCGCGCUGCAUUAGCUAGUUGGUAAGGUAACGGCUUACCAAGGCAACGAUGCAUAGCCGACCUGAGAGGGUGAUCGGCCACACUGGAACUGAGACACGGUCCAGACUCCUACGGGAGGCAGCAGUAGGGAAUCUUCCGCAAUGGGCGAAAGCCUGACGGAGCAACGCCGCGUGAGUGAUGAAGGUCUUCGGAUCGUAAAACUCUGUUAUUAGGGAAGAACAUAUGUGUAAGUAACUGUGCACAUCUUGACGGUACCUAAUCANAAAGCCACGGCUAACUACGU
rnacentral:rRNA from 1 species